GAGUAACACGUGAUUACCUGCCCCAGACUCUGGGAUAAGCGCUGGAAACGGCGUCUAAUACCGGAUACGAGCUUCAGCCGCAUGGCUAGGAGCUGGAAAGAAUUUCGGUCUGGGAUGGACUCGCGGCCUAUCAGCUAGUUGGUGAGGUAACGGCCCACCAAGGCGACGACGGGUAGCCGGCCUGAGAGGGUGACCGGCCACACUGGGACUGAGACACGGCCCAGACUCCUACGGGAGGCAGCAGUGGGGAAUAUUGCACAAUGGGCGCAAGCCUGAUGCAGCAACGCCGCGUGAGGGACGACGGCCUUCGGGUUGUAAACCUCUUUUAGUAGGGAAGAAGCGAAAGUGACGGUACCUGCAGAAAAAGCACCGGCUAACUACGUGCCAGCAGCCGCGGUAAUACGUAGGGUGCAAGCGUUAUCCGGAAUUAUUGGGCGUAAAGAGCUCGUAGGCGGUUUGUCGCGUCUGCUGUGAAAACUGGAGGCUCAACCUCCAGCCUGCAGUGGGUACGGGCAGACUAGAGUGCGGUAGGGGAGAUUGGAAUUCCUGGUGUAGCGGUGGAAUGCGCAGAUAUCAGGAGGAACACCGAUGGCGAAGGCAGAUCUCUGGGCCGUAACUGACGCUGAGGAGCGAAAGCAUGGGGAGCGAACAGGAUUAGAUACCCUGGUAGUCCAUGCCGUAAACGUUGGGAACUAGAUGUAGGGUCCAUUCCACGGAUUCUGUGUCGCAGCUAACGCAUUAAGUUCCCCGCCUGGGGAGUACGGCCGCAAGGCUAAAACUCAAAGGAAUUGACGGGGGCCCGCACAAGCGGCGGAGCAUGCGGAUUAAUUCGAUGCAACGCGAAGAACCUUACCAAGGCUUGACAUAUACGAGAACGGGCUAGAAAUAGUCAACUCUUUGGACACUCGUAAACAGGUGGUGCAUGGUUGUCGUCAGCUCGUGUCGUGAGAUGUUGGGUUAAGUCCCGCAACGAGCGCAACCCUCGUUCUAUGUUGCCAGCACGUAAUGGUGGGAACUCAUAGGAGACUGCCGGGGUCAACUCGGAGGAAGGUGGGGAUGACGUCAAAUCAUCAUGCCCCUUAUGUCUUGGGCUUCACGCAUGCUACAAUGGCCGGUACAAAGGGCUGCAAUACCGUAAGGUGGAGCGAAUCCCAAAAAGCCGGUCUCAGUUCGGAUUGAGGUCUGCAACUCGACCUCAUGAAGUCGGAGUCGCUAGUAAUCGCAGAUCAGCAACGCUGCGGUGAAUACGUUCCCGGGCCUUGUACACACCGCCCGUCAAGUCAUGAAAGUCUGGUAACACCCUAAGGAGGUGAUCCAACCGCA
rnacentral:rRNA from 1 species